rnacentral:rRNA from 1 species
CAGUAGCCGCGGGAAUACGAAGGGGGCUAGCGUUGUUCGGAUUUACUGGGCGUAGAGCGCACGUAGGCGGAUUCUUAAGUCAGAGGUGAAAUCCCAAGGCUCAACCUUGGAACUGCCUUUGAUACUGGGGAUCUUGAGUCCGGGAGAGGUGAGUGGAACUGCGAGUGUAGAGGUGAAAUUCGUAGAUAUUCGCAAGAACACCAGUGGCGAAGGCGGCUCACUGGCCCGGUACUGACGCUGAGGUGCGAAAGCGUGGGGAGCAAACAGGAUUAGAUACCCGUGUAGUCCCUGUCUCUUAUAC